rnacentral:tRNA from 3 species
GGGCUCAUAGCUCAGCUGGUAGAGCAUCGCCCUUUUAAGGCGGGGGUCGUAGGUUCAAACCCUACUGAGCUCA